CUUCAAAAAUUUAAAAAGAUAAUUCACUAAACAACUAAAUUAGUCUUCAAACUUGAAAAACUAAAAAAACAUCCAAACGACUUAAAAAUAAAAAGAAAGAGUCCCUCAUUCUCGAACUAGCUUUUUCAUUUCUGCAAGAGCUUCAUCACUAACCUUGUUGCAAGAGACGAUCCCAUUUUCAGGCAUUUUUAACAAAUGAAAAUUGACCCGAGAAUAGGAUCAUCUGAAAAUCUUUUGACAAUAGUUGCAUUGAAAAAGAAAAGCAAUAAUAUUAUUCUAGACAUUUAUAAUCUAAAUUAUUCUAGACCACUAACAAUACUAUUAUUAUAAUAAGCAAACAGAAAAGCAAAGAAGCUUUUCGUUUGGUUUCAGAAAAGUAAAGUUGAGGCAUCCUAGCAGAAAAGCAUCAACAUUAUUAACAAAAAGAAAAAGGAAGCUUCAGGAAAACAUAGAAUUCGAAACCCAGUUACUAGCUCUCACUAGCAGAUGCAUAAGAUACGAUGCAGCACUUGCAAACAGAGAUGACAGGAGCAGUUGCCGAUGACGGUUCUGAGGUUCGAGUGAGGAAAAACAGCAGCCGCUUGUCCUUUUGGACCGUGGACUGGGACAACUGUCAUGGGCCCUGUUCGGCCUGCUGUAAUAGCGGCCAUUGCACACGAGUCUUCAACAACAGCAGCCAUUGAAAUCAUGUUUGUAGACCAAUUUUGAAUACACUUGGUUUGUAUGGAAAUUAUCUCACCGCUUUUCUUUUCUUCAGCCAUUGCAUGGACUGAUUUUUGUUGGUUGAUUUUGUUUGUAGCUUUGUUGUUUCCAAAGCCACAAGGGUUAGGUUUGUGGGUUCUACAUUUUUUUUCGAACACCAGGGUUUGUGAUUUCAUGGCUUUGAGUGUUUCUAGGGUUUUUGGGAAGAGAUAGACCGAAACUUGCUUUGAUACUAAUAUAAACAUAAAAGUGUUUAGGGUUUGAAUUGUGUAUGUUUAUUCUUCUCUUUAGGAGGUAAAUAUAUAGUUGUACAAUA